AUGGCUGAGGUUGUUGUUACAGAAUAUCCGAAGGAGUUUAAUUUGAGGACCGCAAUAAAGUUGAAACGCCGGUUUCUUAAAGUACCGAAAUAUCAUUCUCCUUUAAGCUUUAACGGCGACGUUUCUUCUUCUCCAUCUUCUGUUCGACCUUUGACUUUCUCUAAACUCUCGAAUUCAAUCUUUGUCUUCGCUUAUACUCUGAAUCGAUUAAAAAAAUGGAACCUAAAGGCUCCAAGGAGGGAGAGUGCUACUGGAGAAAUGUCUUAA